rnacentral:rRNA from 1 species
UCCAGACUCCUACGGGAGGCAGCAGUGGGGAAUAUUGCACAAUGGGGGAAACCCUGAUGCAGCGACGCCGCGUGAGUGAAGAAGUAUCUCGGUACGUAAAGCUCUCUCAGCAGGGAAGAAAAUGACGGUACCUGACUAAGAAGCCCCGGCUAACUACGUGCCAGCAGCCGCGGUAAUACGUAGGGGGCAAGCGUUAUCCGGAUUUACUGGGUGUAAAGGGAGCGUAGACGGUUAUGUAAGUCUGGAGUGAAAGCCCGGGGCCCAACCCCGGGACUGCUUUGGAAACUGUGUAACUGGAGUACAGGAGGGGCAGGCGGAAUUCCUGGUGUAGCGGUGAAAUGCGUAGAUAUCAGGAGGAACACCGGCGGCGAAGGCGGCCUGCUGGACUGAAACUGACGUUGAGGCUCGAAAGCGUGGGGAGCAAACAGGAUUAGAUACCCGAGUA